GUUGAUAUUUUUAUUGUAUUAUUAUUGUUAUUAUUAUAUUUAUCAUCAUCCUUACUAUCAGUCUAGGCCAGUGUUUGUCGAACUGUAGCCUACGACCUGCUUGUGGAUGAUGCUGUCCACACAGUGGGUUGUCAUGGCAUCUUAGUAAACAAAGCAGCACAGACUGAACCAGAGUCUCAUCACACCACCCACACGGGGAGCGUAUGGUUUCCUGAUGUGUCUACUGGUAUUCACAAGGACAUAGUUCACACAUGUGGCUCCUGGUACAUAGUUCAAGAUGGAUUUCUACUGUGGGCUGUGGUUAGAGAAGAUCUAAAAGGCUGUUCUAACCCAGCCUCAGAGGGGGUCCUGGCCACUGCAAACAGCGGGAGCGGCCACGCAGAGGGACGCCGAGCUGGGACACCGGUCUUGGCCCUCAGAAGCAGCACAUCCGCACCCCUGCCUGUCACCUGCUGGGCAAAAUACAACAGCACUUCGGGUGGGCGUGGACCAGCCACUCACCAGUAAGUCUUGAUGAAUCCACCCUCCUUACAAGACAUCUCUACGACCAGCCUUGUUCCAGAGCUUUUCCACUGGAUGCCUCCCUAACCGCUUCUUAUCUGAUUGGUAAAAUUAUAGGCAUUCAUGACAAAUCCAAAACAAAACCAAACCCUCCAAUUGACAUUUAACAUUUGGUUACAAUUUUUGCAAGGAAAUUACCUGAAAGAGGUUUUACCUUGGAAUAUUGACUUAAUGUUUACCAUCCUUCAGGCUGUGCCUUCCCACGAGGAGGGUAUUAUCUGAGGAAGUGGAUACUGUGGCCACCUCCCCUCCCGAAGUACUCGCAGCUAUACAUAGCCAGGACCCCCUCACAGGCGUGCGAGUGACUCGGUGUUUCCUCCGGUGCCAGGAGUGUCUGUGUUUGCCUCCCCCGCAGGCCUCCUUCCUGUACGUCACAGCAGGGGCUGCCUACGAGGCAGGAAGUGAAACCAGCAGCUGCAGUAACCAGUGGGACAGGACUGGUUUUUCCCCUACAGUCUGUCUCGGCAGCUGAACCAGUAUCUUCCCGAGGGAUACCCCGAGCUUAACUUCGCAGAGGGACGGACGUUCCAACGCUGCCUCUUGAACGGUCCAUCCAGGGCUCCCCAAGAGAAUCUCAGAGGCCCUCCUGCAACCACUUCAUUUUACAAACAAGGAAACUGAGGCUGAGACAAGCCAGUGGCUGGCCCGUGUCAGGAAGUCUGUGCCUGGCAGAUCUGAGAUGGGCCAGUUGUCUCUCAGCGACGGUUCUGUUUCUUUGACUUAGUGCGUUCGGACUCUUUCUCGAGGUUAACUUAAAUCUCCAGGAGAAGCAUAAUACCUGGCAUGAGCAUUUUAAAUCUAUUAUCGAGUCUCCCAAGGGAAGUUUCUCCUCUUAUAGAAAUCCAUGCUAGACAGUCAAAAUUAAUAAUUCUAAUCAAUUUGAGAGAGAGAGAGAUCACAAGCAGGAGGAGAGGCAGCGGCUGAUGGAGAAGUAGCUCAGUGCCGAGCAAGGAGCCUGACGUGGGACUUGAUCCUAGGACCCUGGAUCAUGAGCUGAGCUGAAGGCAGACAACGACUGAGCCCCCAGGUGUCCCCGAAAGAUUUUAAUAUUAAUAGCAGGGAUCUUUGGGAAUAAAUCGCCAACUAUAUUGAAUGACUCAUUCGCAGAUUUCAGGAUAAUUGUACUGUAACCCUUUCACCUUUUGCUCACUUUUCUCAUCACUAGAGAACACUUGCGUCUUGGUCAGUGUUAGCCCGACGCAAGGACCAUGAGGUCACCAGACCUCUGUGGGCCGACACCGUACAGACGGGAGGUGAUAGUGUGGAAAGAAGAAUGUGGCUACAGUGUUGACAACGUGGCUGGAACUAGAGGGUAUUAUGCUGAGGGAAAUAAGUCAAUCAAUGAGAGACGAUGAUCAUAUGAUCUCCCUGAUAUGAGGAAUUUGAGAGUCAGGA